rnacentral:rRNA from 1 species
AUGGAUUACGAGCCGGCGGUGAUUUGCGCUCGCUGCGGCAGGAAGGCCCCGCGCUGGAUAUCCUGGAGUCCGGCGAACCCUGGCAGGAGAUACUAUUCCUGCGUGGACUCUCAGGGUUCAUGAGCUGAGCAGCAUGGCUUCAUCGACUGGCAUGACACCCCCACGAUGCCAUUUCUUCGUCAAUUGCUUGGAGAUCUAUGGGAUAAAGUGUGGAGGCUGGAGGAUGAGCUUGCUGGGCAUUCAAGGGAAGGAGAGGUUGGUUUACUGAGAGAGGAAUUGGAGAAGAAAGAAGCUUUACUUGCAGAAAUGAGAGGCAAAUGUGAUAGGAAAGAUGAGAUGCAGAUGUAUAAGUCUCUGUUUUAUGGCAUGGUGCUCUUUGUUGCUGGUUUAGUUGUAGGGUUCCUUCUAGUUCAAUAG